GACGAACGCUGGCGGCGUGCUUAACACAUGCAAGUCGAACGGAAAGGCCCUGCUUUUGUGGGGUGCUCGAGUGGCGAACGGGUGAGUAACACGUGAGUAACCUGCCCUUGACUUUAGGAUAACUUCAAGAAACUGGGGCUAAUACCGGAUAGGAGCUCCUGCUGCAUGGUGGGGGUUGGAAAGUUUCGGCGGUUGGGGAUGGACUCGCGGCUUAUCAGCUUGUUGGUGGGGUAGUGGCUUACCAAGGCUUUGACGGGUAGCCGGCCUGAGAGGGUGACCGGCCACAUUGGGACUGAGAUACGGCCCAGACUCCUACGGGAGGCAGCAGUGGGGAAUAUUGCACAAUGGGCGGAAGCCUGAUGCAGCAACGCCGCGUGCGGGAUGACGGCCUUCGGGUUGUAAACCGCUUUCGCCUGUGACGAAGCGUGAGUGACGGUAAUGGGUAAAGAAGCACCGGCUAACUACGUG
rnacentral:rRNA from 1 species